rnacentral:rRNA from 1 species
GAUGAACGCUGGCGGCGUGCUUAACACAUGCAAGUCGAACGGAAAGGCCCAAGCUUGCUUGGGUACUCGAGUGGCGAACGGGUGAGUAACACGUGGGUGAUCUGCCCUGCACUUCGGGAUAAGCCUGGGAAACUGGGUCUAAUACCGGAUAGGACCACUUCUUGGAUGUUGUGGUGGAAAGUUUUUUCGGUGUGGGAUGAGCUCGCGGCCUAUCAGCUUGUUGGUGGGGUAAUGGCCUACCAAGGCGUCGACGGGUAGCCGGCCUGAGAGGGUGUACGGCCACAUUGGGACUGAGAUACGGCCCAGACUCCGACGGGAGGCAGCAGUGGGGAAUAUUGCACAAGGGGCGCAAGCCUGAUGCAGCGAGGCCGCGUGGGGGAUGACGGCCUUCGGGUUGUAAACGCCUUUCGCGAGGGACGAAGCGUUUUGUGACGGUACCUGGAGAAGAAGCACCGGCUAACUACGUG